UUUAAAUGUGAACUACUAAAAAGUAAAGGAAAACAGCAUUUUUCUUCUGCAUAGUAAAGUUUCAAAGCCGUAUGAAGUCAAUGUUCAAUUCUAAACUUCCAAAACAACAACAACCACAACAUUUUGUUCA